GAAGGAAAAGAAACCAACAGGGAUUGCCUCAGUAACGGCGAGUGAAGCGGCAACAGCUCAAAUUUGAAAUCUGGCCCCUUCGGCUUCCGAGUUGUAAUUUGAAGAGGGUGUUUCGGUUGCGGCCCUGGCCUAAGUUCCUUGGAACAGGACGUCAUGGAGGGUGAGAAUCCCGUACAUGGCUGAGGGCUUGCUUCUAUGUGAAACCCCUUCGAAGAGUCGAGUUGUUUGGGAAUGCAGCUCAAAAUGGGUGGUAAAUUUCAUCUAAAGCUAAAUAUUGGCGGGAGACCGAUAGCGCACAAGUAGAGUGAUCGAAAGAUGAAAAGCACUUUGAAAAGAGAGUUAAACAGUACGUGAAAUUGUUGAAAGGGAAGCGCUUGCAAUCAGACUCGCUUUCGGUUGAUCAACGUUCCUUUUGGUUCGUGCACUCUGCCGUUUGCGGGCCAGCAUCAGUUGGGGCGGUGGGACAAAGGCGGUGGGAAUGUGGCUCCCCUCGGGGAGUGUUAUAGCAAUGGUUGUAAGCGACCCGUCUUGAAACACGGACCAAGGAGUCUAACAUCUACGCGAGUCUUUGGGUGUCAAACCCAUGGGCGCAAUGAAAGUGAACGGAGGUGGGAGUCCUCGGGGCACCAUCGACCGAUCCUGAUGUUCUCGGAUGGAUUUGAGUAAGAGCAAACCUGUUGGAACCCGAAAGAUGGUGAACUAUGCCUGGAUAGGGUGGAUCCAGAGGAAACUCUGGUGGAGGCUCGCAGCGGUUCUGACGUGCAAAUCGAUCGUCAAAUUUGGGUAUAGGGGCGAAAGACUAAUCGAACC
rnacentral:rRNA from 1 species